rnacentral:misc_RNA from 1 species
UUUCCGUAGGUGAACCUGCGGAAGGAUCAUUACCGAGUAAGGGUCUUCUGGCCCGAUCUCCAACCCUUUGUGAAAUUGACCUUUGUUGCUUUGGUAGGCCCGUCCUUCGGGACCGCUGGAGGGGUUCAUCCUCUCGGGCCCGUGCCUGCCAGUAGCCCCUUCAAAUUCUCUGAAUACUGAAGUCUGAAUUAUAAAUUAAAUGAAACAAAACUUUCAACAACGGAUCUCUUGGUUCUGGCAUCGAUGAAGAACGCAGC